CCCUGUAGAAGUAUUUCCUCAUAAUCAGACACGCUCAAGCUGCAAAGGGCAACUAGAGGCGAUCUCCAUCUUUCUAAUCACCACUUCAGUCUUACAGUCUCUCCUUCUCCCCAGGUGUCAGAGGUUAGGACAAGGUCACUACCACAGCUGUUGCUACUGAUGAGCAUUCUGUCCCUGUCUCUGUCUUCCUGCCUUCUGUAUUCUCUCUCCCCAUCUUGUUCAAGCUUCCUGUGGGAUGACAUAACACCACAUUCUAAAUUCUAAAUUGCUUAGUAUUUCUGCCACUUUUCUAAGACUAGGAAAAGCAGCAAACACUACAAGCCCCAGAAUUCUUAGCAAGGAUCCUGACAAUUUCCUCUGUCUGCAAGGGAAGAAGGUGAUGCAAAGGGCUGUUGCACCUAUAAAGAAAUCAACUUUUAUAAGACAUAUUGGAAUGAAAACCAGAUGUAUCUGUGGAUGGGGGAUACAAGGCUCUGCCCGGCCUAUCCAGAAACAGCUAUAAGAGCUAUGAGAAACUGCUUGUUACAGAAACCAGGCAGCUCCCCACCCAGGAGAGAGAUAAAGAGCCCUGACUCUCAGAGAUAAACCCCAUUAGCAUGUGGGCCCCUCAAGGUACUUCCUGAAAGACUAAGAGGGACCUAGCAGCAGCCCAGCCAAAGUUCUCUGGAGCUGUAGACUUAAGAAUGAUGGAGGUCAAGCCAAGAAGCCAAGAGUCAGAGGAUGAUGUGGUUGGCUCUUUUCCAUGGUGUGGGUUCAUCCUGGAUUCUUUAGUAGUGGCCCCUUGGAAGGGAGUUUACUGAAUGUAAACUUGCUGCUUCUGAUGGGAAUCCAGAAGUCCAGGAACUGAGGUUAAGGGGAAACUACAUUACUCAAAAUACUCCAGUCUUUUUUACCC
rnacentral:lncRNA from 1 species